CCUACGGGUGGCAGCAGUAGGGAAUCUUCCACAAUGGACGAAAGUCUGAUGGAGCAACGCCGCGUGAGUGAAGAAGGGUUUCGGCUCGUAAAACUCUGUUGGUAGUGAAGAAAGAGAGAGGGAGUAACUGUCCUUUAUUUGACGGUAAUUACCUAGAAAGUCACGGCUAACUACGUGCCAGCAGCUGCGGGAAUACGUAGGUGGCAAGCGUUGUCCGGAUUUGUUGGGCGUAAAGCGAGUGCAGGCGGGUCAAUAAGUCUGAUGUGAAAGCGUUCGGCUCAACCGGGGAAUUGCAUCAGAAACUGUUGAACUUGAGUGCAGAAGAGGAGAGUGGAACGCCAGGUGUAGCGGUGGAAUGCGUAGAUAUAUGGAAGAACACCAGUGGCGAAGGCGGCUCUCUGGUCUGCAACUGACGCUGAGGCUCGAAAGCAUGGGUAGCGAACAGGAUUAGAUACCCCUGUAGUC
rnacentral:rRNA from 1 species